AAGCAUGGGGCUCCGGUACAUAAGUUGGUGUAACCCUUUUAUUCAACCCAAUUUGCAGUCGUGGGGGAUUGGAUCGUAAUCCACCCUACCAAGUUCAGCACCAGAUACCUCUGAACCAACAAACAAAUAGGCUUAUUAUUUUUAUUUUUCUAAGCAUGGGGCUCUGGUACAUAAGUUGGUGUAACCCCUUUAUUUAACCCAAUUUGCAGUUGUGGGGGAUUGGAUCGUAAUCCACCCUACCAAGUUCAG
rnacentral:lncRNA from 1 species